rnacentral:rRNA from 1 species
GACGAACGCUGGCGGCAUGCCUCAUACAUGCAAGUCGAACGAAGCUAGCAAUAGCUUAGUGGCGGACGGGUGAGUAACACGUGAGCAACCUGCCUUGUACAUUGGGAUAACACAGAGAAAUUUGUGCUAAUACCGAAUAAGACCACACUACCGCAUGGUAGAGGGGUAAAAGCGAUUUAGCGGUACAAGAUGGGCUCGCGGCCCAUUAGCUAGUUGGUAAGAUAACAGCCUACCAAGGCCACGAUGGGUAGCCGGCUUGAGAGAGUGAUCGGCCACAUUGGAACUUAGACACGGUCCAAACUCCUACGGGAGGCAGCAGUAGGGAAUAUUGGGCAAUGGAGAAACUCUGACCCAGCAAUGCCGCGUGAAUGAAGAAGGUCUUCGGAUUGUAAAGUUCUUUGA